rnacentral:rRNA from 1 species
GAUGAACGCUGGCGGCGUGCCUAAUACGUGCAAGUCGAGCGAACAGAUAAGGAGCUUGCUCCUUUGACGUUAGCGGCGGACGGGUGAGUAACACGUGGAUAACCUACCUAUAAGACUGGGAUAACUUCGGGAAACCGGAGCUAAUACCGGAUAACAUAUUGAACCGCAUGGUUCAAUAGUGAAAGGCGGCUUUGCUGUCACUUAUAGAUGGAUCCGCGCCGUAUUAGCUAGUUGGUAAGGUAACGGCUUACCAAGGCAACGAUACGUAGCCGACCUGAGAGGGUGAUCGGCCACACUGGAACUGAGACACGGUCCAGACCCCUACGGGAGGCAGCAGUAGGGAAUCUUCCGCAAUGGGCGAAAGCCUGACGGAGCAACGCCGCGUGAGUGAUGAAGGUCUUCGGAUCGUAAAACUCUGUUAUCAGGGAAGAACAAAUGUGUAAGUAACUGUGCACAUCUUGACGGUACCUGAUCAGAAAGCCACGGCUAACUACGUG